AGUGAACGCUGGCGGUAGGCCUAACACAUGCAAGUCGAACGGCAGCACAGUAAGAGCCUGCUCUUACGGGUGGCGAGUGGCGGACGGGUGAGGAAUACAUCGGAAUCUACUUUUUCGUGGGGGAUAACGUAGGGAAACUUACGCUAAUACCGCAUACGACCUACGGGUGAAAGCAGGGGAUCUUCGGACCUUGCGCGAUUGAAUGAGCCGAUGUCGGAUUAGCUAGUUGGCGGGGUAAAGGCCCACCAAGGCGACGAUCCGUAGCUGGUCUGAGAGGAUGAUCAGCCACACUGGAACUGAGACACGGUCCAGACUCCUACGGGAGGCAGCAGUGGGGAAUAUUGGACAAUGGGCGCAAGCCUGAUCCAGCCAUGCCGCGUGGGUGAAGAAGGCCUUCGGGUUGUAAAGCCCUUUUGUUGGGAAAGAAAAGCAGCAGGUUAAUACCCCGCUGUUAUGACGGUACCCAAAGAAUAAGCACCGGCUAACUUCGUG
rnacentral:rRNA from 1 species